GUUGCCAUGUGUCUACCUUGAUGCUAAUGGACUGAACCUCUGAACCUUUUUGACCUCCGAAGAGCUGGGAGUUGCUACUACCCUGGCUCUGUACCUUUUCCUAUCCUGUCUUGGAAUGUUGUCUCAAAGAAAUGUCUUCGUGGAAUGUACAUCCAGGAAGCAUCCUGGCUGAAAGACCACAAGGAGAGAAAGGUUCACCACCAUCCAACACUGGUACCAACUGUGUAAGGGAGGGCUUCCUGGAGCCCUAAGCCUGUCAACCUUCCCACUGAGCUCAGCUGCACAAGCCAGACCAAACAAAGCCAGCCUCGGAACAGACCUCCAGCCAAUCAGAACGGGAAAUAAAAGUUGUUUUCAGUCACCAA